GUGGGGAAUAUUGGACAAUUGGCGCAAGCCUGAUCCAGCAAUGCCGCGUGGGUGAAGAAGGCCUUCGGGUUGUAAAGCCCUUUUGUACGGAAAGAAAUCCUGGUGGUUAAUACCCGCCGGGGAUGACGGUACCGUAAGAAUAAGCACCGGCUAACUUCGUGCCAGCAGCCGCGGUAAUACGAAGGGUGCAAGCGUUAAUCGGAAUUACUGGGCGUAAAGCGUGCGUAGGUGGUUUCUUAAGUCUGUCGGGAAAGCCCUGGGCUCAACCUGGGAAUGGCGAUGGAUACUGGGAGGCUAGAGUGCGGUAGAGGAUGGCGGAAUUCCCGGUGUAGCGGUGAAAUGCGUAGAGAUCGGGAGGAACAUCUGUGGCGAAGGCGGCCAUCUGGACCAGCACUGACACUGAGGCACGAAAGCGUGGGGAGCAAACAGGAUUAGAAACCCGAGUAGUCC
rnacentral:rRNA from 1 species